GUUUUUGUAGAAUGAUGUCCAAACAGCAAAAGAAUUUAUUAAAAUCAUAGAACAGGCAGAAAAUGAGUAUCAGACAGCAAUCAGUGAAAAUUAUCAGACAAUGUCAGAUACUACAUUCAAAGCCUUGCGUCGCCAGCUACCAGUCACCCGUACUAAAAUUGACUGGAACAAAAUUCUCAGCUACAAGAUCGGCAAAGAAAUGCAGAAUGCCUAAGAACAGAGAUGCUGUGGGAAAUAUUAGCAUGCAAAAUAAACAGAGCAAAUACGGUCCUUUGCCAAGUAGGUGGGUUUCCUGAAAUUGGCAUUUGUCUCAGGCUUUUGGCAUUAUCAGGUUUUAUAGCCUUAUAAAGGACUGUUACAGACAUAACAUUUUGUUUGUGUAUAUUCCUGCCUUGAAAACAUCUGGUGUAAGAGUUAUAAUGCAUUUCCUAGUAGGCUUACUUAAUAUAGCCACCCUGGGAUAAGUACUAUCAGUCCUUGUAAUUUGCUAAAAAGUGUCUUCGCUAAAAGAGUCUUUCUAGAAAUGCAGGCUGGUAAUAUUGGACUUACAGUCCCGUACUUUUGCCAGCACAGGUAUUAAAUGCAGUUCAAUAGAAAUGCUGGCAGGCUUAUGGUAUUGCUUUACACCAGAUACAAUUUUUCCUUGCUUGUCUCCCCUAAAAACUGCCAAUCACCAACUAGCAAUAUCUUCUAGGCUUACCUUUUUCAUGUUUGCAAAGUGUUUAUAAGACUCUUCCCAGAAAUGCCAAGAAGGCCAGGUCUUCUUAAAUGCUGUUUGGGAGGGGGGGUUGUUUUUGUUUUUUAAAUCCAAAGACUUGAGCCUCAUUUUCUUCGAGUAAACUAUUUUUGUCAUUUGUAUUCCUGGAAGUACAGUUAAUAUAAAUGUCUGCAUUUUUACAGGAUGGGUCCUCCAUUUUUCUUAAUACAUGUCUGCUGCUCAGAUACUUGUUUAGGUGGAGAAGAAAUUACAAAAAUAAAAUGCUGUAAAUGUUUAAAUAUUGGAUUUAUUGUGCUUUAAUGCUUUGUGGCAAGCUGAUGGUAUUUUCAUCAGAAAUGUAUGAAUGAACAUGUCUAAGUGAGUCAAUAAAAUAUUUGCACCAAGGCA